GUGCUUGCUUCGGCAGCACAUAUACUAAAAUUGGAACGAUACAGAGAAGAUUAGGAAAAAAAAAAAAGAUACCUCUUGGGAUGUCAGCAUGGGUUCCAGUAUGGCUCCACUGGCUUGGUUUUUUGUUUUUUUUUU
ensembl:snRNA U6 U6 spliceosomal RNA